rnacentral:rRNA from 1 species
UACGUAGGGUGCGAGCGUUAAUCGGAAUUACUGGGCGUAAAGGGUGCGCAGGCGGUUAUAUAAGACAGAUGUGAAAUCCCCGGGCUCAACCUGGGAACUGCGUUUGUGACUGUAUGACUAGAGUACGGUAGAGAGGGGUGGAAUUCCUGGUGUAGCAGUGAAAUGCGUAGAUAUCAGGAGGAACACCAGUGGCGAAGGCGGCUACCUGGACCGGAACUGACGCUGAUGCGCGAAAGCGUGGGUAGCAAACAGG